AGCAGCCGCGGUAAUUCCAGCUCCAAUAGCGUAUAUUAAAGUUGUUGCAGUUAAAAAGCUCGUAGUUGAAUUUCGGGGUCAGUAGGUCGGUCGUGCCACUGGUAUGAACUGGUUUUACUGAUUCCUCCCUCUUGAAGAACUGUAAUGCCAUUAAUUUGGUGUUGCAGGGAAUCAGGACUGUUACUUUGAAAAAAUUAGAGUGUUUAAAGCAGGCUUUAGCUUGAAUACAUUAGCAUGGAAUAAUGAAAUAGGACGUUUGAUCCUAUUUUGUUGGUUUCUAGGAUUGACGUAAUGAUUAAUAGGGAUAGUUGGGGGCAUUAGUAUUCAAUUGUCAGAGGUGAAAUUCUUGGAUUUAUUGAAGACUAACUACUGCGAAAGCAUUUGCCAAGGAUAUUUUCAUUAAUCAAGAACGAAAGUUAGGGGAUCGAAGACGAUCAGAUACCGUCGUAGUCUUAACCAUAAACUAUGCCGACUAGGGAUCGGAUGAUGUUAAUUUUUUAAUGACUCA
rnacentral:rRNA from 1 species